UAUCUCGUGUGGGUUGAUAGAACUCUUAGGAGCAGUCAGUGCAGAUGUAUCCAAAGUCAUCAUAAUAUGGUAAUAGGGAUAAAGCAAUAUCUCAUCAUUAAUGCAGUCACAAUUUAAUAAGAUGGAACUACAUAGUAAGUACAGGCUAUUAGAGUCUAAGUACACUGUUCAUAUUAUGAUAUGCUAGAACUAUGCUACUGUCCCUUUAUAAUUUCAGCAUAACUGCCUUUGCCUAUAGACAUACGAGCAUCUGGUUAGGACAUGAG